UCCAUCUCUUCCCAGACCUCAUUUAAGGGCUGGCAGUGGAGGCAAGGGCAUUUCUUGCUGGAGAUCCCUGCUUACCUGAGACCUUUCAAAAAUAAGUAGCUCUUUUCUAUCAUUUUUGUGCCUGUUGCAUUUGGGCUUGUUCUUGUUUGCUGUAGCCAAAGUCUUUGUCACCCUGCUGUUAUCAUGGUACCUUCCAUCCUAUUGUAGCAUUACAGAGCCAAAGAACAAGGUUUAGGUGUGGGUUCCUGGAGCUAGGUUCCAUGCUUUACUAAAUUAGAUGCUUAACAACAGCUGGCAUGCUUGGUAUAAAGCAACUCUGGAAACAGAAUUCCUGACUUCACCUGCCCAGGCUCUUGUCAAAUUUUUCCUGAAGAUAAGCAGCUGUAUCUGUCUUCUCCAAGUUCUUAUCUAGGUUCAGCCUUCUGCUUGAAAGCAUGGCUUAGCAUUGUUCUCCUGCGUAAUAAUUCUCUCUAUGGAAGUGGAAAGCUCUGAUCUGAGCCCAUCAUCUUUAUAAAGAAAUCAGAGGUUCCCUAUCUAUCCUAGUAGCAAGUUUUGAUGUUAUGUUAUAACCUGGGCCAUAAUUUGCUCUUUGGCUGAAGCUGUGCCACAGAGGACAUGUAAUUCACUUUGCUAGCACGAGGCCACUGAGAGUCUGAAACUGUGGUUAAAGUACUUGCCCAGCAGAGGGAAGUCAUAGCCUCUGAUUGUUUUACAAGCUCUCUUUCAGAACAGAAAUCCAGUGGCUUUAAGAUGCAGUGAAUAAGCAGCCUUGACCAUCUGUUUUUUUUUUUCAUUGGUCAAGAUCCUUUGAGUCUCGAUUUUAGGUGUACAAAUGCGGUAUGUCUUAGUGUGUCACCCCAAUCUUCUUUACAGAGAGAAAUAAUUUGUUUUCUACCAUAGGAUGAGGUGCAUUUUCCACUGGAGAUCUCCUUUUCUGUCUGGUGGCUAUGAAAGGAACCUAGGUGACUAGCUCAGACACAGGGAUUUCACAGAUCAGCACUUACGUUAAGUCAUGCAGGUUUUAAUCCUGUUGGCCAUAGCUGCCAACAUGACAUUGGUGUUAGGAUGAGGAACAUCCUCCCUUUGCCUUUUUGUUCUGCUCACUUGCUGCAGACUGCCAAUUAGGACAUAGCAAGUAGCUUAAUAUCAGCGUAAUGGCCAUUAUGCUCUCAAAUAAUUGAAGAAACAAAAUACCUUUGUAGCAAGGCUUUCCCUUUCUCUUGUCUAGCAUCUUGCCUGAUAAUAACAUUUACUCCUGUAAUUAAAACCACUUUUUUUCUGCAGUUGAUUCUCCAUGCUUCAAGGUUUCUGUGGCAAGUGAUUGCUGUGUUUUAUGCUUUCUACACAAAAUAUAACCAACUAAUCAUGCCCUGGAGUGUCUCUGCUUACUUUCCUGCUUCCUCAUAUUCUGCCAGGGCAGGAAGGAAAGUAGUUGUAGGGUGUAUUUGCAAGCAGUUACUGUGUGUAAACUUGUUAUCUAGCCUCGAGCUGGCUAGAUAUCUGGCGGAACAGAUGAGUGGAUGAUCUGUUGCUGCUGCCUCUGUGUAUUGUUUAUCUGUUUUCCAUUUCCCCAAACACAUCAGCUUCUUAUGGCUUUGCUUUCCUUACCUAUCAAGAAAUAGGUAUGUUUUAUAGACCCAGCCAUGCUAAAGGCUGGAAUGGCUUUGUGGAGUUCUCAGGGGAGGAAGGGCCCAUCCAGUACCACUGUGCCAAGCUCAAACCUUGUCAGAUCUGGUGGAGAACGGUGCGGCACCUACUCUUCAGGCUUCCUUGAAAGCUGAACCUCUAAUGUAGUGCUUGGUCUGCGAGAACAGGAGAUUUAAGAAAUUUCUUGUAACAAAUCCUCACAAACUGGCAACAUCUGUCGGCCUGUCAGCAAUAAUUGCAUCCAGAAAAAAUAGCACGUGAGGCUGGAAAUAAUGGAGUGGUACGUACUGGAGAAGAGGAAGCAGAUGGCACAUACUGCAGAAGAAAACUAAGCAUCCCCAGGUCUCAUGCAUUUCAUUACUUAAUCCUUCUGACAGCCUUACUCAUACUUUCUGGGACUCAAAGAUUUAAACCUCUCUGAUUUUUAUCUACAUUCCCAGAAUGUCCCUGGCCUAACCCUAUAGUUCUUCUUUAGUUUAUACACACCCAAGCUGACUAAACAUGACUGAUGCCCACUUGUGUCUUCAGGAUAAACAGAGACAUCCCUUCACCUUGGCUUUGCUCCUGUGUGUGUAGGAACAGCAGAGAUACAAUAUCAGCAGUGCAAGGACACAGAUGAUAGCUGCUGGCUGGGGAAAACUGGAAAGAUCUUGCUCACCUCAUGCAUGACUAGCUGUGAUCUAAGUGAGACAUGCUUCAUGUAGUAUACUAUUAUAUCAAAUGACUGCUUUUUGCAACAAGACAACUGGAAAAUAUUAUAAAAGGAUCGCAGCCUGAAAAUUGCCAGUAGACACUGAAUAUAAGUUACAAUGCAUCAGAAGCAAACCUGUCACAUGAGCAGUCCCAAAGUGCUUUUUAUUUAUCAACAGUUAGCAAGCACCUGAUAUAAAUUUUGUUUGUUAUGAUAGCAACUGCUGCUCUCAUAGGAAACACUAUGAAAAGACCUAAUUUUACUCAGAGUGCCUUUAUAUUAGAAAGUGUGUAUUUUUCCAGCAGUUUUUGCUAACACACUAAAUAUGAUACAAGUCUUAAUGACUUUACAGCAUUCCCACUUAAUAUGCUGGCAUAAAAAAUAAUAGUGCAUGUUUCUGUUUGCAAGAAAACAAAUUCUUAUGCUUUCCUUGUUUUCAGUUUCUGCAGGUUUAAAAAAAAAAUUUGUAGAAAUGCGGUACGAUUUUCCAUUUAGGUGGUAAUUUCAGGGGAUGUUGUGAACUAUUGGUAGAAAAAAAUGUAAUUCCUAAUAGGUCAUCUACCUACAGCUACAGAAUUAUAGAGCAAGUAGACUGUUGUUUUCAUCUGCUCUAAGCAGAGUACUAAGACAAUGCUAUUGUACAUAAAAUGAGUAAUAAGCCUCAAGUAACUGACAUUUACCAGCGUGUCAGGUUCAUCAUUUUUACAGUCAUAGCUGAAAUUGCGUUUACAAAAUUGCUCUCAUGAAGCAGGCUUUUCAUUCUGAUAGAUUCCCUCCUUCUCAAAGUAUAAUUCAUCUUCUUGUGAAAGCAUUGAUCUUAAUCCUUAGCCUCUGUUAAGAUUACUAGAUCUUCCAGUUUUAAAUUUAAGGUUCUUUAUCUUAACGCUCCCUGAACUGAUGCCUGUUUGACCCCAUUCUACUUCUUGUGUCAUUUGUUCUGUGCAACAUGGAGAUAGUGUAAAAGGAAUAGCUCGUGGUCAAAGGGCUCUGUUCAGAGGUGCCUUACACGCUGCCUGCUGCCAGAUGUAAUGUAAAUGGGACCAAAAAUUCAGUAUAAUUCUGCUUUGUAACUUAGAUGGCAUCAUUAUUUUGUGAAGUAAGGUUAUUUGCUGUACCGCAGAGCAACCUUCUGGCACCAGGACCUUUAAAGCAGUUAUGGAAGUGGAGAAAGAACAUACUGUGAAUUUGAUGUUGCACAGAACAGGUGCUGAAAUCCUUCUUGUUAGAAACAUGUAAAUGAAAAAUGAUCAACAGAAGAGGAGGAUAAAUAGGAGAAGCUGGCGUUCCUUUAACAGGCACUGAACUGUGUUUUGUCUAAUAAAAGACAUAAGAACAAAGGGCGUGGAGGAAGCUAUUUUUCUUCUAGCAUUAGACUGUGCUCUAAAAGGCAAAACUUGAACACAAGCAACCAAUUGCACCAACAGCAGUGAAAAGAUGUGGCACAUGAGGAUGGCAGAUGCUGUGCUUUCUUCACAGCCUUGAAGAGGGCUGUCUGUUUUGUCAUUAUUUCUAGCUUAGGACUUUGUGAGCUACUGCUCCAGCUGGAUAUUUUCUCAUACAACCCCCAAAAUCUCCUUGGUAAUGGCAGCUGGCAUCUUUGUUCACUACUGGGGUACGUGCUAGCACUUUCACGUGGUACUUUCAGGUAUUCUCUUCACAUCCAAUACUUAGUGUUUCUGCUAGCAUCAAUAUUUUGAGUCUUUUUUUAGCUUAGUGUUCAGAUAUUGAGGCCAGUCAGCUGGAGUCAGUGUUGGGCAUAGUUUGGGGCUUUUUGAUGAGAAUAAGGUUCCUGCACACUCUUUAUCCUGGGACCUGGGCUGCAGAGCCAGCACAAGGAGAUCUGGAGGAGAGGGAGGAUUGCAGCUGCAGAGAGUGCUGGGGUAAGAAUGGCUGGCAGAAGAAGGCAUUUUUGAAAACAAACACACAUGCAUACAAACAACUCUGGGCUCUGGGACACGAUAAGAUGUAUCCCUUGUCUGAAGGGGCUUUACACAGGUAAAGCUUUUUGUUUGAAGCAGAUUUGCUUUACAGCAAGAAAUUGCCUUGUGUUUGCAGUUGUUGGGUUCUUUUCCUUUUAGGCUCUGAUAGAAUUCUUCUCCUUGGACUACUGUGAUCAUGUGUUCAAGGCCUAAUUGCCACACUGGAGUGAUGUAUGGCUCUGAAAUUUCUGGGGUACUUGGGUGAGUAUGUCUGAUGUCUGAAUGUUCGAGUUAGUUUUGCAAGUUAAAAGUGCUUGAGAAGUGGUGAGGAAAAGCGUAAAAGGCCUUUGGACAUGUCCUUGUGUUAGAGUGCAUGUGUAACUAGCUGGGGUGUGGAAGAGAUACCACCACUUGCCAGCGUUGCACCUCAGAGAAGAGCUGUGUCGCAGAGAGCACAGUGCUAUCCGUUGGUAACUGCUGCCUUUUCAUUAUCAACCACUGUGCUAUUGCAUUAUUGAUUAAUGCUGUUGAAAGCUAUUCCUGCUGGUCCCUGAUGUUCUUACUGAAAACCACUUAAUGUAUCAGCCACAUCUAAUUGAAUAGCAAGAAGAGUGAGUGAAAUGUCAUUCGUAAGCGCUCCUUCCCUUUAUAGUCAUUGGCAAAAGUAUGUAUGUCAUUGAAUAUUGAAAGCAUCCUGAAGGCAUCAAAUUUCCAGAUACAAUCCUGACUUGUUAAUAUUUUAUUGAACUAAUGCUAGAAAUGCUACUACUGCUAAUGUUGCUCUGGACUUACAUGCUUCACUUACUGCAGGGACUAAAAGUGUUCUGUACAUCUGAAGUAUUACCAUAUCUCAGAAUGAUUGGUAAGUAAUACUCCAAUCAAUUACUAAAUCUAUAAGUUGAAUCACAUAGACAUUAGAAGAAAUUCUGCAAUUUCAGUAAAGUCAGUGGUGGAACUGCAAAAAGAAAUUAGCUAACUUUUAAACAUUGGUAUUAUAAAUAACACCGAAAGACUUCAGUCAGUAUCAGGGCCUCGUUAUGCUGAACUCUGUACUGAUGCAUGCAAGGAAAGACGAAAAGUCUUGGCUGCAAGGAAUUCACAUAGUGAGUAGCCAAGACACAGUGCUGCAUGAAGGAGAUGCUCACUACAGGCAGGAAGCAAAGCAAAUUGGUUUGCUAAGGCCACUGUGUACCACCAGCAGAGACCAAAUUCAGAUUUCUGGACUGUAUGCAAUUUCUCAAGUUUAUUUUACAGUGCACUUUUGAUGCUUGUGGAAGGUUGCCCUGGUUCCACUUUGCCGUAUAUCUUUGUGUGAUGAUGGACAUGUAUGGACAUUUCCUAUCUGGCCUCUUCCACUUCCCAGAGACUCCAGUUACUCUGAUACCCGCGUUCAUUUCAUUCUCUUUUAGCCUCUGAGGAGUUCAGGAGUGGGAUGCAGACCUCAGUACACCACCACGCAUGAGGGUCAGUCACCCCCCGUAGAAGCCUUCAGCAGUAUCCAAAGGACAAGUUGCUUAAGCCCUCUUUUCAGCAUAUGGACAUCUCUUUAAAAGCAUGCUGUCAUGGAUCCUCAGGAAUUCCUCUUCCCUUGGUCCUGCAAGUGCAGUUGAGAGUUACUCAAGAUGAGGCCUAUGAAAGGCUCAUAGGCAGCUGCCCCACUGCUGGAGGACUGACCACAAGAGAGCAGCCAGAAAUCACAGCUUGAGCUUCAGGGAAAUGUGACAACAAGCAAGCUAAUUUGAUCUCUCAGCUGAGAACUGCAGUGGAUGAGAAGCUGCUGCCUGGCGGCAAUUGUGGCCACCACAGAGAGGGUGGGCAAGAUGGUAAUCAACCCUUCUGAGAUGAGGAGCCCACCUGCCUCUCAACACUUACCUUGGUACGAAGAGCUGCAUUCUGCCCUCCUGGCCUCCUUCUGAAGCUUGUGGCUGUGGGGGAGUCACCACCACAGUUCCAGCUGCUAACUCAUGUCCCAAAGGCACUGAAUUGUCUUCUAGCAAUGUUUUUGUCUCCUCGUUGACACAAAGAGGGUACAGAUAAGCAGGUGUCUGAAGCACCUCCAUACCUAAACUAAAUCAACGUGCAUCUCCCACAGCUCUGUCCCUUCUUUCCCAGCAGCCAUUUGUCAGAUCUUUAUAAAUAGCAGUCUUCUAAAAGAAAACAGGGAGAUAUAAAUUCAGAGAAAAAAAAAAUCAGGCUGAAAACCCUUUCAUAACUGACACUCCCACAGAGAGGUAAGAACAAAAGAAGAAAGGCCAGGACAAAACAUCUCCGAGUGGUGCCAGGGAGAUGGAGGAGGGAGACACAUGCCUACAUUUUCUACUGCUGAGCAACCAGGAAAAAAACCCAUAUCAUAUAUAAUUGGUAUAAAGCACUUGGGGUUUUGUAUUUUUUUUCCUGUUGUUUUUGCUUUCAAUCUAAAAAAUGUAAAGUUGGAAUAUAUUUGCAGGAAACUUGAAAGCUGUGACACAGAUCUACAGAAGAAAUACCUACAGAAUAUAGUUUAGGAAUUUUUUUUUUUUUUUUAAUUUCUGUUCAAAAAGUUAAUAAGUUUAUCUAGUAAGCAAAGGAAAAAAGAUGAAUAUACAAAGAAUGGAAAUAGUCCAAACAGUUCAUUGAGUUUAUGAUCUACAAAAUCCUCUACUAAUAUAAGCCAGAUUUCUCAUCUUUCAAACAGUGCUGGCAAGUGACAUCCCACCCUACACAGCUUGCAUGUUGCAAUCACUGUAAGAAGAGCUGUCUCAUACCAAGAUUGUGCUUGAUGUCCUCUACUUCCUUCUGUCUAUUUUUCCUGAAUAGAUAACGUCUGAGAAGAUAACAAAUUAUCUGUGUAUAUUCAAUAGAAGAUGUAGAGUUUUUCUUUGCAUAGUGUGUAUUGUGUCAUUCUGUUAUUUGUACAUCAUAACAGCAUAACCCAGGCCUUGAGUAUAUAUCAGUACUUUCUUGCAUACUUGUACCACUUAAGAAGAUUAAAUACAUUUAUUUAGGACAUAUCAUUUGUCUGAACUAUGCUACAACCUCUACAAUAACAGACUGCACAGCUUUUCCAAACAGUAUUUUCCAAGUUCCACAGCCCAUUGAAUCUAUUUUUUGCCACAAAAUGUAAUAUGAGUCAUCAGCUGCAGCCUUGUCAUUUCUACCACAGACACGGGACAGCUGACAUCUCCAUCUUCCCAACAGUCUUUUAUGUAUUUCCCUGUAUUCCAAUGCUGUCAUUAUAUAGUUCCCCAUUUUCUUCCUUUAUUUUCUUCCCUUCCAACUCUUCAAAUUUUCUAACCCCUUUAUUAUUCUUACUGUUUGCCCCAAAUGAGACACAAGACCACCUCUUUCUGGAAGAAUAGAACCUGUUGCAAGACACAGCUGAGCUGCCCAGCAAUGGACCUUUCAAAGAGGAGAAAGGACAUUCCUCCAUGCUUAUUGCAGUUCAUAUAUGUGCUUCACAUUCUCAGCGUGGUGUUUGCCCACUUCUCAUCAUUAAUAUAAUUCUCUGAUUACAACCAAUACUGUCUUCUCUGAUUACAACCGAUACUGUUGAUCACCCAUCAACUUCUAUCUUAAAACUACAGAAUACAAAAGGACUGACUACCACAAAGAGUAACCCUCACAGCCUACGUGGAGAACUUGGCAUACCAAGCAUCAAGACUUGCAAAAUACAUUGUAAUCCCAGAUGUCAGAUGUGGUAAGACAGAAAGGCAACCAGACAAGCCAAUGUUCAGCUUUGUUCUCCCCUAGAUUAUGGUACUUUGAGCUAUUAGGGCUACUAUUCAUGAAACUAUUGAAAAAAACGUAAGGUAGAUUCAGAUAUUCAGCACCAGGAUUUUGGGGUGGAAAACAGGAGGGGGAUGCUUACUGCUUGCUGUGGCAUCAUUCUUAGAAACCUGAAUACAAGAUUAAAGAAACGGGUUCCAUGAAGAACAUUAUAAGUAAUAGUGCCUGCCUAUAAGUUAUACCCUUGCAUGUAAACAAGUGUGAGAAAGCUCUCACGUGAGGAGUUGAAAUUGAGACUGGAACUGACCACACAACCUGUAAAUAAUGUCUCUGGAAAAUAGGAAAAAACUCAAGACAAAUCACUCAGAAAACUGAUUUUUAAGCAUCACUGGAAAGGCCAAAGCUGAGAAAGUGAAAAGCUGACAAGUAAACUAGUAAGAAGGUUUUAAUUGUAGAGUUUGGAUGUAUCACAAAAAGGGAAAAAAAAAAAAAACAACAAAGCAGCAUGUGCAGUGCAUGCAGUCAUUCCCACUCCAGAGGCUGUUUGCACAUAGAAUUUCCCCGAGAGUACAGAGGCAGCUUGCCACAGAGAGAGUUGCUACUCAGCAGCUGUGCCUUUCCUGACAUAUAUUCAAUGAUUUGGAACAGGAGAGUCUGAUUCAGAAAAAAGCAUGAAUAAUUUGAAUUUUAUUAUGCACAGACUGCUAAACACUGAUUCAUGAUAAAACAUCAUUAUCAAUCGUCAGUACUGUGAUAGUGACUUACGACCCAGCCAGAACCAGUAUAGUUGUCUUGGAUAAGUCAAAAAGAGAUGGUGCAGCCUAGAAGUGCACAAGAUCCUACUGAAAAAUAGAGGAGUAGAGAAAAAGAUUGAUAAGGGUGCGACUAUGUGACAUAUAAGUUUUGAAAUGUACAUCAUAAACUCUGUACUUUCCUCACAUAGAUUUCAAGCAAGGCCUCAAUAAAUCCUACCAGUCAGUAGCUAGGUGAUAGCAUAUUGUUAUCAUACGUGGGCAUAUUGUCUUGGAACCUUUGUCAAAGGACAAAUUGUGUUCAAACCCAUAUAGCCUGCAUGGUUGUUGCUUUACACAGCUGAAGUCCGAAAUGGCAAAGGGAGAGCAUGCUGACUUGGAUGGGAGCACGUAGGACAAAAUCUUGAAAUGUAGCUGCUUUUGUACUAGAAGUCUUAAUCAAAAUAACUACUUGAUCAACAGUACUCCGUACUCCCACUGUGUUCCAAGAAUUUAGUGGUGUGUAUUCUUAAGGUCUUUUGGGACGAGCAAAAAAAUUAUUCUUAACCAGGUCAUUUCUCAUUUUCCAGUUGCUGGAAGCAAAGCAAAAAAUGCUUAAAAUUUAGAAAAUGACUAAUGGGGUUACUGUGCAUUUUUGGCAUUGGUGAUUUUCUUAUGAUUAACGACUUUUCUGUUUCCCCAGCCUAUAGUAUCAUAAAUUAAUAUCACAAAGAGAAAUAUUAAAAACCAACCCCUAUGGGAGAAUUAACAAGUAAACUAAAGCAGCAUACUAUUAACAUACCAGACGUUCUGCACAGGCCAUCACAAAUCAGGCCGGAAUUAUUAGCUAAGAUAUAGCACCACGUGAAUGCGCAUCUAUUGUGCCUGUUCCCACAAAUUCAUGUAACACUUUCAACAAAUGAAUCUUCCUUGAAUCAGGAGCACAGAGCAGAGACAGAUGACUGGGGGAACAGUUUUCCCUAAGUUAACCCGUCUUAACAGUAAGGUGUGUAGGGCAGAAUUUACCUGAGGCUAUUUCUGUUACUUUGUUGACAUCAAGAAAUUAUCAUUCCAUCUUUGAGGCAUACAUGGCAAUAUGUACCUUUUCUGUAGCCAGUGUUCUAGUUUUUUUGUAAAGCUUUCACUGUGCCUUGAUUUCUGCCUCCAUUUAGACAAAAAUACAGUUCUUUCUCUGAUUUUAUCUCUUUUUGAAUACUGCAUUCUGCUGUUGAAAAAAAGAUGCACACCUACACAAGUUUUUGGUGAGGCUAGGUCUGCUACAUUCUUUAACCAGCUUGCUCCUGGACUUUCAUUAUUCUUGUCAGAGUCUAGAUGGUUUGAGCAUGGUCAUUAUCAUGGAGCUAUCUUUCAAGUUCUUCACAAACAUUUUCAUUCCUUAUUUUGACUUUCCUCCUCUUUCUGCAAUUCUUCAUCUUCUACAGCACAAUUACAUGGCCAAGAUUUAAAGUAAUGAAAAGGCAAACAAAUCAUGGUUGUUACAGCAAUUAAACCCAAAAAUAACCAAUUUGCUCACUUUUCCUUUGCAAAUGCAUUUCAGAGACUGCUUUAGGGACUCCCCAUGUGCAAGAAUGGUUGUUCUAGGUAUUUUUGUUUUUACGUAGAAGAUGUAUUUUUUCAAAGAAAAUAUAUUUGACAUUUUGCAACAGGUGAAAGUUAAGAUUACGCCAAUAAAAUGAUGGUGCUUUUCACAGAAUGAAGUACCACAUGUUUGUGAUGAAAGCUUCAAAGAAUGAAACCUCUGGAGCCACAGGUAUAAUACAGAAAUAGGCAUUUGGGAGUAGAAAGUGCUUCUUGUUACCUACAGCCAGAGUGCACGCUUAUGUGAAAAGUGUCUUUAUCGAGGCCUGUUCAACUACAGACACAGGUAUUGAACAGUGAUCAUUCUUCACAACCUUCCCAAUCUUAAUUUUUAAUAGAAUUUGUGUGUUUUUGUGAGAAGACUCCCAUGCUAGUGUUCAUAAGACAAAUAGGAUUUGCAUUUCAGUUAAUACUGAAAAGCUCACAACUACAUGGCAAGAGUGCAUCUUCUUGCUUUAGCUCACUUGGGAUCUCAUCUGUGCUCCUUAGCACAGGGUCACCAGUUGGUCAGUCAGGAACUUCUUCAGCGUUCAGAGAAUGUUUCCCCAUUAACAAUCCUUAAAGUAUGAAGACUUGCUAUAAUUUUAACUAAAAUCUGCUUUUUCACUUUUCUGAGAAGCUGUAACACCACCAAAAGUGCAUUAACAAUAUGGUGUGGAAAUUUAAAGUAUCUCCUGCAGGCUACUUAGCAAAGCUGCCCAGCUUUGGCUGACAUUAUUCAAAAGGACACCUUCAUUCCUGAAUCAUGCACACAACUGGGCACUCCAGCUCUUCACCACCUCUUGAACUGAUUUUUCAAUGCAAUGAUUUUCCAGUUUUAUCCUACUUUUGGUUCAGUGUAAAAGCACCUGCUUAUUUCUUUGCCCAUAUCAAGCUGUUUGCUGUGUACUUUUUGUCUGUUCACAAUCUUGUGUAACAACAUAGGAUUCUACAGAAUUUAUUCUGUGAAAACUGAAAAUGGCCUCAUCAGUAAAAAUAAGUGUUUAGACCAUAAGUCUUUAUAGUCCUAGCUUAACUGGUGGUUACACUGGGAGAAAGAGAGCAAAGCAAUACACAGGCUGGUGAGAGCAAACACCUGAAUAAACGAGGAGGUGAUCUGCCACUUGUACUGGAGGCCUUCCUCCAAAGCCAAGGGCUGCUAGGCCUGGGAAGUAAAACUUCAGAGCAUCACUAUGCAGUUUAUAACUAAAGGAGGGGCCACGGGUUUUACCUGAUCAGGGGAAGAAACACAGAGGCUGUGUAAGAGUGCUUUGCAGCCACCCUGAGCUACAGCUAAGGAAGAAGUCUACAUCUGUGAGACUCAACAAAAUCAUAAGAAGCAAUCCUAAAUCACUGACAGUUAAGAAGACAUGAGUAUUAAGCCAACAUCAGAAGCAAACCCAGGGCAGAGGAAAUGGGGAAGACUAAA